GAUGAACGCUGGCGGCGUGCCUAAUACAUGCAAGUAGAACGCUGAAGGAGGAGCUUGCUCUUCUGGAUGAGUUGCGCACGGGUGAGUAACGCGUAGGUACCCUGCCUGUUAGCGGGGGAUAACUCUUGGAAACGAUAGCUAAUACCGCAUGACAACAGUUAUUGCAUGAUAACUGUUUAAAAGAGGCAACUGCUCCACUACCAAAUGGACCUGCGUUGGAUUAGCUAGUUGGUGAGGUAACGGCUCACCAAGGCGACGAUACAUAGCCGACCUGAGAGGGGGAUCGGCCAAACUGGGAAUGGAGCACGGCCCAGAAUCCCACGGGAGGGAGCAGUAGGGAAACUUCGGGAAUGGAAGGAAGGCUGAACGGGGAACGCCGCGUGAGUGAAGAAGGGUUUCGGGUCGUAAAGAUCUUGUGUAAGAGAAGAAAGAGUGGGAGAGUGGAAAGUGCACACUGUGACGGUAUCUGACCAGAAAGAGACGGCUAACUACGUG
rnacentral:rRNA from 1 species